GACGAACGCUGGCGGCGUGCUUAACACAUGCAAGUCGAACGGAAAGGCCCUGCUUUUGUGGGGUGCUCGAGUGGCGAACGGGUGAGUAACACGUGAGUAACCUGCCCUUGACUUUGGGAUAACUUCAGGAAACUGGGGCUAAUACCGGAUAGGAGCUCCUGCUGCAUGGUGGGGGUUGGAAAGUUUCGGCGGUUGGGGAUGGACUCGCGGCUUAUCAGCUUGUUGGUGGGGUAGUGGCUUACCAAGGCUUUGACGGGUAGCCGGCCUGGGAGGGUGACCGGCCACAUUGGGACUGAGAUACGGCCCAGACUCCUACGGGAGGCAGCAGUGGGGAAUAUUGCACAAUGGGCGGAAGCCUGACGCAGCAACGCCGCGUGCGGGAUGACGGCCUUCGGGUUGUAAACCGCUUUCGCCUGUGACGAAGCGUGAGUGACGGUAAUGGGUAAAGAAGCACCGGCUAACUACGUG
rnacentral:rRNA from 1 species